rnacentral:rRNA from 1 species
GCGGCGUGCUUAACACAUGCAAGUCGAGCGCGAAAGGGACUUCGGUCCUGAGUAAAGCGGCAGACGGGUGAGUAACACGUGGAUAACCUAUCCCUUGGUGGGGGAUAACUACUCGAAAGGGUGGCUAAUACCGCAUAAGACCGUUAGUCUCUGGACUGGCGGUGAAAGAUUUAUUGCCGAGGGAGGGGUCCGCGUCCGAUUAGCUAGUUGGUGAGGUAAUGGCUCACCAAGGCGACGAUCGGUAGCUGGUCUGAGAGGAUGAUCAGCCACACUGGUACUUAGAUACGGACCAGACUCCUACGGGAGGCAGCAGUGGGGAAUAUUGCGCAAUGGACGAAAGUCUGACGCAGCAACGCCGCGUGGGUGAAGAAGGCCUUAGGGUCGUAAACCCCUGUCAGAGGGAAAGAAGGGUCGCCGACCUAACACGUCGGUGAUCUGACGGUACCUUCAGAGGAAGCCCCGGCCA